GCAGUGGUGAUUCAGUGGUAGGAUUCUCACCCUUCAUGUGGGAGACCUGGGUUUGAUUCCCGGCCAAUGUA
rnacentral:tRNA from 1 species